rnacentral:lncRNA from 1 species
GCGGAAUUUCACUCGCUCUGCUGCUCUCCGGGGACCCGCCGCGAACCCCUCACCCCGGAGCCAGGCAUUGAUGGGAGGGGCGAUCCCAGCUUUCGAGGCUCUCCCUUCUCCACCGCAGGAAGACCGCUGAUUUCCCCGGCACCCGAACGACAGAGACCCAGCUUCCACCCACCCAUCCCCGGUCCCCGGAGCGGGGCCGGCAGAGGGCGAGAGGGGCCGCGCGGCCGGGGAACCCCGCGCUCCGCCGCCGCGCCGCCUCUGCACUUGUUGCAGUCCCCGAGGGGCCGGGAGGCGGCGGCCAUCCUUCGCGCCGCUGAGCCCGCGGCAGCACCUCCUCCCACCCCCUGGAGACCCUGGACCCUGGAGAAAGUAGCUCCGCGACGGCGAACUCAGGCCCGUGGUGCUUCAGGGUAAUGUGCAUGUGAAUUACCUGCAGAUUUGUCAGAAUGCAGAUUCUGACUCAGUGUCAGAUGGAGGCUGAUACCCUGCAUUUCUGACCAGCUCCAAGCGGUGCCACUGCUGCUGGCCUGUGGACCAUACUCCGAGCAGCCAAAUGAGAGAUUCAAAGUGUCCCGUUAGGAACAAAAAGAGAGAAAUAUUCAUAUUGUUAGAAGUCUUGACAUUUCUGAAUAUUUUCAAUCAAUGAAUAUUUAUUGUACACCAAUGGAAGCUAAAGCUCCAAUACUUUGGCCACCUGAUGCAAAGAGCCAAAUCACAGGAAAAGCCCCUGAUGCUGGGAAAGAUUGAGGGCAAGAGGAGAAGGGGGCAACAGAGGAUGAGAUGGUUGGAUGGUAUCACAGACUCAAUGGACAUGAGUUUGAGCAAGCUUCAGGAGAUAGUGAAGGACAGAGAAGCCUGGCGUGCUACAGUCCGUGGGAUCACAAGGAGUCGGGCAAAAUGACUGAACAACAACCACUAUGUAUAAAAUAUAUUUUGCAAUCUUUUAAGAAAAGAUAAUUUCCAGCCAGUUUUGAGUGUGAAGACUUCCCUAAAGUGAAGGUACAACCUCUCAAACAGAGCCAAUGUCUCCACCAGGUAGAGCAGUUUCAGCGCCCAAGCCCACUACACUAUUAGAAGCCAGCAAGCUGUUUUAAUUUAUUUUAUAAGAGAAGAAAAAAGAUGAACUUUCAGGUCAAAGAAAAUGUUCUAACAUAUUAGUAUAUUUGACUUUGUGACAAUGGAGUCUUAAACUGUAAUUAUUUUACUUCAUUUUUUAUGGAGGAAGUGACCUGUGAAGGCAAAAGUGCCUAGGGCCCACGAAAGUCCACAGCCAUAACGUGGCUAUGCUCUGUUUCAGUCCCAGGUAGUUUUAGGAAAGCACACCAAGCCUGUUGUGGUUGAUAUUUGCAUACUGAUAUUUACAUGAACAGGAAAAUGGGGAAGACAUAAAUUGCCCCUUGACUGGAGUCAGCCC